GACGAACGCUGGCGGCGUGCUUAACACAUGCAAGUCGAACGCUGAAGCUCAGCUUUUGUUGGGUGGAUGAGUGGCGAACGGGUGAGUAACACGUGAGUAACCUGCCCCCUUCUUUGGGAUAACGCCCGGAAACGGGUGCUAAUACUGGAUAUUCACUGGUCUUCGCAUGGGGGUUGGUGGAAAGGGUUUUUCUGGUGGGGGAUGGGCUCGCGGCCUAUCAGCUUGUUGGUGGGGUGAUGGCCUACCAAGGCUUUGACGGGUAGCCGGCCUGAGAGGGUGACCGGUCACAUUGGGACUGAGAUACGGCCCAGACUACUACGGGAGGCAGCAGUGGGGAAUAUUGCACAAUGGGCGCAAGCAUGAUGCAGCGACGCCGCGUGAGGGAUGGAGGCCGUCGGGUUGUGAACCUCUUUCGCUCAUGGUCAAGCCGCAACAAUGGUUGUGGUGAGGGUAGUGGGUAAAGAAGCGCCGGCUAACUACGUG
rnacentral:rRNA from 1 species